CCUACGGGUGGCAGCAGUGAGGAAUAUUGCACAAUGGGCUAACGCCUGAUGCAGCAACGCCGCGUGAGCGAUGAAGGCCUUCGGGUCGUAAAGCUCUGUCCUCAAGGGAGCUAAGGACGGUACGUGUGGAGGAAGCCCCGGCUAACUACGUGCCAGCAGCCGCGGUAAUACGUAGGGGGCUAGCGUUAUCCGGAAUUACUGGGCGUAAAGGGGGCGUAGGUGGGUUGUUAAGUCAGCGGUGAAAGGGCACGGCUCAACCGUACUAAGCCUUUGAAACUGGGGUACUUGAGUGGACGAGAGGAGUGUGGAAUUCGUAGUGUAGCGGUGAAAUGCGUAGAUAUUACGAGGAACUCCGAUUGCGAAGGCGGCACUCUGG
rnacentral:rRNA from 1 species